rnacentral:lncRNA from 1 species
AUGGUGAGUUGUCCCUGCUGGCCUCCUCCAGCAGGCCCGCUAGUGGCCCUCACCCCUGCCGUCACCCCCACCCUGGCUUAGGCCUCCCUCCUGCUCAGGGUUCCCCUGAAGGUCUGUGCAAGACAAAUCCUGGCCCCAGAACGGAGACAGAGGGAUGUCAGGGCGCCCACACGCGGGCCUGGUCCUGACCCCCAUCUGCCCUCUCCUCAGGUGCUGCUGGCCUUGGAGGUGUCCUAGGAGCCACCAGGCCAUUCCCAGGUGGAGGUGGAGGCGCCGGGGGCCUGGGAGUCGGCGGAAAGCCCCCCAAGGCCUAUGGAGGGGCCCUGGGAGCCCUGGGAUACCAAGGUGGGGCCUGCCUGGGGAAAUCCUGUGGCCGGAAGAGAAAGUGAGCUUCCCAGGACCCCUGACUCGCGACCUCAUCAACGUUGGUGCUACUGCUUGGUGGAGAAUGUAAACCCUCUGUGAUCCCACCCCAAGCCCCACUCAAUGCCCACCCGGGAGGGGACGGUAGGCCGGCGGCCUUGGAAAUCCACAGAACAAGGAAUCAAGAGCAGUGGCCACGUGCCCCGACUGGGAGGCCACCGGCUCCAGAGGCCAGGGCCGGUGGGCUCAGCCCCGGCCCCACCCCUCCUCCUGGGAGCUCCCCCCACACAG